rnacentral:rRNA from 1 species
UAGGGAAUCUUGGACAAUGGGGGCAACCCUGAUCCAGCCAUGCCGCGUGAGUGACGAAGGCCUUCGGGUUGUAAAGCUCUUUUGCCGGGGACGAUAAUGACGGUACCCGGAGAAUAAGUCCCGGCUAACUUCGUGCCAGCAGCCGCGGUAAUACGAAGGGGACUAGCGUUGUUCGGAAUUACUGGGCGUAAAGCGCACGUAGGCGGGAUGGCCAGUCAGAGGUGAAAUCCCAGAGCUCAACUCUGGAACUGCCUUUGAUACAGCCAUUCUUGAGUCCGAUAGAGGUGAGUGGAAUUCCUAGUGUAGAGGUGAAAUUCGUAGAUAUUAGGAAGAACACCAGUGGCGAAGGCGGCUCACUGGAUCGGUACUGACGCUGAGGUGCGAAAGCGUGGGGAGCAAACAGG